CACUCCUAUUUCUGCCCCAUCUUCUUAUUACUCCAUAGAUUAAUGGGUUCUAGUAAAGGAGAAGAAAAAGCCGUGGAAUGGCUUCCCGCACUUGAUACUUCGCGGUUUAGCUUCAUUCCGCGGAUCGUGUGUAGUGGCAGGUUAUCCGGCUGCAGCAUUUUAUGUGCAGUCGGGCUGUCAUUGCUCUAUAUUU
rnacentral:snoRNA from 1 species